UAUGCCCAUAUUCAUAUAUGCAUUCAUGUUAACAGACUGUAAAGACAGUCAUUCAACUCAUUUACUGGUUUGAGUUCUCCGUACCGAAUCGAUAUUGUUGUAUGUAUAUGACUUGCAAAUUGCGCGGGGAAGCAAUAUUCGUGUGCACUUUUGGCGCGGAUAUAACACGACAACCGGAGUUAAGAGCCUCAACCGCCAGAGAGUCUGAAAGAAUUAAAGAUAUUUACAUUCAUAUCGAUCAUCAAGAAUAUGAUAGAGCAUAGUUUAACAUUUUGAAGCGAAUCUUGAAAUUUCGAAAAAUUGAUGGAAAAUACGAUUCAGUCCUUUGGUCCCCUGUUACAGAUUUUCCUGAAAUUAUGAAGUUAAUCAAGGGAGAUUACGCCACAAGAAAAUGAAUGCUGGGUUGAGAAACAAUCAACUUUUUAUCGAGUAGAUGCUGCUAUGUGAAACGGGACUUAAAGAUAUGGAUAUAAAUGGCUACCAUGAUAUAUGAAGUUCGUACGUGAAAAGUUUUGAAUGGAAAACCAACCAUAAACGCGGUUCCGAACACACGGACACUGUUUUACGAGGGAAACCAGAGUUCCUGGAGGAAAACCCUCACCGAAAGCCGGAAUCAAAUACAAAGUACACAAAAAGUUCGGGAUUUUAUUAACACAAAAUUUCAUGUAUUACAAAGCGUGUGUGUCUUUUUCAUGUGUUACAAAGCGUGUGUGUUUUUAGGCUACGUUAAUUAGCUAUGGAAAUCAAGAGGCAUGGAAACA